rnacentral:rRNA from 1 species
UGCGCAGGCGGUUACAUAAGUCAGGUGUGAAAUCCCCGCGCUUAACGUGGGCAUUGCAUUUGAAACUAUGUAGCUAGAGUUCUGUAGAGGGGGGUAGAAUUCCAGGUGUAGCGGUGAAAUGCGUAGAGAUCUGGAGGAAUACCGGUGGCGAAGGCGGCCCCCUGGACAAAGACUGACGCUCAGGUGCGAAAGCGUGGGGAGCAAACAGGAUUAGAUACCCCCGUA